UGACACAUUGAAAGUCUGUAGUGAUUAUUCAUAAUCGAAACUUGUUGUCUAGAAUAAGAAAAGACAUUGAUGUCCAAAACCUUUGAAGACAGGAGGGACUGCAUUUGAAUCAUAGAGAGAUGGAUGUGGGGCCAUUUAGCAGGAAACAGUGGGCAUCACAGUCUUUACGGAUCACAGCCAAAGAGCUCUCAUUGGUUGGGAGCCGUGGCAAGAACAAUGCCAUCACUGAGCGCUUUUCCAAAUAUCAGAAAGCUGCUGAGGAGGCAAGUGCAGAGAAGAAAAAAUCU